UUAAGUUAUUAAGGGCGCACGGUGGAUGCCUUGGCACUAGAAGCCGAUGAAGGACGUUACUAACGACGAUAUGCUUUGGGGAGCUGUAAGUAAGCUUUGAUCCAGAGAUUUCCGAAUGGGGAAACCCAGCAUGAGUUAUGUCAUGUUAUCGAUAUGUGAAUACAUAGCAUAUCAGAAGGCACACCCGGAGAACUGAAACAUCUUAGUACCCGGAGGAAGAGAAAGAAAAUUCGAUUCCCUUAGUAGCGGCGAGCGAAACGGGAAGAGCCCAAACCAACAAGCUUGCUUGUUGGGGUUGUAGGACACUCUAUACGGAGUUACAAAGGACGACAUUAGACGAAUCAUCUGGAAAGAUGAAUCAAAGAAGGUAAUAAUCCUGUAGUCGAAAAUGUUGUCUCUCUUGAGUGGAUCCUGAGUACGACGGAGCACGUGAAAUUCCGUCGGAAUCUGGGAGGACCAUCUCCUAAGGCUAAAUACUCUCUAGUGACCGAUAGUGAACCAGUACCGUGAGGGAAAGGUGAAAAGCACCCCGGAAGGGGAGUGAAAUAGAACCUGAAACCGUGUGCUUACAAGUAGUCAGAGCCCGUUAAUGGGUGAUGGCGUGCCUUUUGUAGAAUGAACCGGCGAGUUACGAUUUGAUGCAAGGUUAAGCAGUAAAUGUGGAGCCGUAGCGAAAGCGAGUCUGAAUAGGGCGUUUAGUAUUUGGUCGUAGACCCGAAACCAGGUGAUCUACCCUUGGUCAGGUUGAAGUUCAGGUAACACUGAAUGGAGGACCGAACCGACUUACGUUGAAAAGUGAGCGGAUGAACUGAGGGUAGCGGAGAAAUUCCAAUCGAACCUGGAGAUAGCUGGUUCUCUCCGAAAUAGCUUUAGGGCUAGCCUCAAGUGAUGAUUAUUGGAGGUAGAGCACUGUUUGGACGAGGGGCCCCUCUCGGGUUACCGAAUUCAGACAAACUCCGAAUGCCAAUUAAUUUAACUUGGGAGUCAGAACAUGGGUGAUAAGGUCCGUGUUCGAAAGGGAAACAGCCCAGACCACCAGCUAAGGUCCCAAAAUAUAUGUUAAGUGGAAAAGGAUGUGGCGUUGCCCAGACAACUAGGAUGUUGGCUUAGAAGCAGCCAUCAUUUAAAGAGUGCGUAAUAGCUCACUAGUCGAGUGACACUGCGCCGAAAAUGUACCGGGGCUAAACAUAUUACCGAAGCUGUGGAUUGUCCUUUGGACAAUGGUAGGAGAGCGUUCUAAGGGCGUUGAAGCAUGAUCGUAAGGACAUGUGGAGCGCUUAGAAGUGAGAAUGCCGGUGUGAGUAGCGAAAGACGGGUGAGAAUCCCGUCCACCGAUUGACUAAGGUUUCCAGAGGAAGGCUCGUCCGCUCUGGGUUAGUCGGGUCCUAAGCUGAGGCCGACAGGCGUAGGCGAUGGAUAACAGGUUGAUAUUCCUGUACCACCUAUAAUCGUUUUAAUCGAUGGGGGGACGCAGUAGGAUAGGCGAAGCGUGCGAUUGGAUUGCACGUCUAAGCAGUAAGGCUGAGUAUUAGGCAAAUCCGGUACUCGUUAAGGCUGAGCUGUGAUGGGGAGAAGACAUUGUGUCUUCGAGUCGUUGAUUUCACACUGCCGAGAAAAGCCUCUAGAUAGAAAAUAGGUGCCCGUACCGCAAACCGACACAGGUAGUCAAGAUGAGAAUUCUAAGGUGAGCGAGCGAACUCUCGUUAAGGAACUCGGCAAAAUGACCCCGUAACUUCGGGAGAAGGGGUGCUCUUUAGGGUUAACGCCCAGAAGAGCCGCAGUGAAUAGGCCCAAGCGACUGUUUAUCAAAAACACAGGUCUCUGCUAAACCGUAAGGUGAUGUAUAGGGGCUGACGCCUGCCCGGUGCUGGAAGGUUAAGAGGAGUGGUUAGCUUCUGCGAAGCUACGAAUCGAAGCCCCAGUAAACGGCGGCCGUAACUAUAACGGUCCUAAGGUAGCGAAAUUCCUUGUCGGGUAAGUUCCGACCCGCACGAAAGGCGUAACGAUUUGGGCACUGUCUCAACGAGAGACUCGGUGAAAUCAUAGUACCUGUGAAGAUGCAGGUUACCCGCGACAGGACGGAAAGACCCCGUGGAGCUUUACUGUAGCCUGAUAUUGAAAUUCGGCACAGCUUGUACAGGAUAGGUAGGAGCCUUUGAAACGUGAGCGCUAGCUUACGUGGAGGCGCUGGUGGGAUACUACCCUAGCUGUGUUGGCUUUCUAACCCGCACCACUUAUCGUGGUGGGAGACAGUGUCAGGCGGGCAGUUUGACUGGGGCGGUCGCCUCCUAAAAGGUAACGGAGGCGCUCAAAGGUUCCCUCAGAAUGGUUGGAAAUCAUUCAUAGAGUGUAAAGGCAUAAGGGAGCUUGACUGCGAGACCUACAAGUCGAGCAGGGUCGAAAGACGGACUUAGUGAUCCGGUGGUUCCGCAUGGAAGGGCCAUCGCUCAACGGAUAAAAGCUACCCCGGGGAUAACAGGCUUAUCUCCCCCAAGAGUUCACAUCGACGGGGAGGUUUGGCACCUCGAUGUCGGCUCAUCGCAUCCUGGGGCUGUAGUCGGUCCCAAGGGUUGGGCUGUUCGCCCAUUAAAGCGGUACGCGAGCUGGGUUCAGAACGUCGUGAGACAGUUCGGUCCCUAUCCGUCGUGGGCGUAGGAAAUUUGAGAGGAGCUGUCCUUAGUACGAGAGGACCGGGAUGGACAUACCUCUGGUGUACCAGUUGUCGUGCCAACGGCAUAGCUGGGUAGCUAUGUGUGGACGGGAUAAGUGCUGAAAGCAUCUAAGUAUGAAGCCCCCCUCAAGAUGAGAUUUCCCAACUUCGGUUAUAAGAUCCCUCAAAGAUGAUGAGGUUAAUAGGUUCGAGGUGGAAGCAUGGUGACA
rnacentral:rRNA from 1 species